GACGAACGCUGGCGGCGUGCUUAACACAUGCAAGUCGAACGGAAAGGCCCUGCUUUUGUGUGGUGCUCGAGUGGCGAGCGGGUGAGUAACACGUGAGUAACCUGCCCUUGACUUUGGGAUAACUUCAGGAAACUGGGGCUAAUACCGGCUAGGAGCUCCUGCUGCAUGGUGGGGGUUGGAAAGUUUCGGCGGUUGGGGGUGGACUCGCGGCUUACCAGCUUGUUGGUGGGGUAGUGGCUUACCAAGGCUUUGACGGGUAGCCGGCCUGAGAGGGUGACCGGCCACAUUGGGACUGAGAUACGGCCCAGACGCCAACGGGAGGCAGCAGUGGGGAAUAUUGCACAAUGGGCGGAAGCCUGAGGCAGCAACGCCGCGUGCGGGAUGACGGCCUUCGGGUUGUAAACCGCUGUCGCCUGUGACGAAGCGUGAGUGACGGUAAUGGGUAAAGAAGCACCGGCUAACUACGUG
rnacentral:rRNA from 1 species